rnacentral:rRNA from 1 species
UACGGAGGGGGCUAGCGUUGUUCGGAAUUACUGGGCGUAAAGCGCGUGUAGGCUGCUCGGAAAGUCGGGUGUGAAAGCCCUGGGCUCAACCUAGGAAGUGCACUCGAAACUUCCGAGCUGGAGUUUCGGAGAGGAAGGCGGAAUUCUCGGUGUAGAGGUGAAAUUCGUAGAUAUCGAGAGGAACAUCGGUGGCGAAGGCG